ACGAACGCUGGCGGCAGGCUUAACACAUGCAAGUCGAGCGCCCCGCAAGGGGAGCGGCAGACGGGUGAGUAACGCGUGGGAAUCUACCCAACUCUACGGAAUAACUCAGGGAAACUUGUGCUAAUACCGUAUACGCCCUUCGGGGGAAAGAUUUAUCGGAGUUGGAUGAGCCCGCGUUGGAUUAGCUAGUUGGUGGGGUAAAGGCCUACCAAGGCGACGAUCCAUAGCUG
rnacentral:rRNA from 3 species